rnacentral:rRNA from 1 species
CAGCCGCCGCGGUAAUACGAGGGGGGCAAGCGUUGUUCGGAUUUAUUGGGCGUAAAGGGUGCGUAGGCGGUUUGGCAAGUUUGGUGUGAAAUCUUCGGGCUCAACUCGAAGUCUGCAUCAAAAACUGCCGGGCUUGAGUAUGGGAGAGGUGAGUGGAAUUUCCGGUGUAGCGGUGAAAUGCGUAGAUAUCGGAAGGAACACCUGUGGCGAAAGCGGCUCACUGGACCAUUACUGACGCUGAGGCGCGAGAGCUAGGGGAGCAAACAGGAUUAGAUACCCGCGUAGUCCCUGUCUCUUAUAC